UUUGAUGUUAAUCAAACCAUUUUUAAUCAACACAUAGCAAAUAUUCAAUAUACAAUGUAGGUUAGAAUUAGAAAAUUAAAAGAAGCUUAAUUUGAAUACAGGCGCGUCAGAUAAGAAAUUAUUGAAUGUUUUCCGUCCAUUACAAUCGGGAGAGAAGCUAUAUAAUCAGCAGCUUAUUGUGGAGAAGUCGAAUCGUAAAAACAGGGCUGUAUGUCGGUCAGUCCGCUGAAAAAUAUCAAACAGAUAAUGUUAUAGAUCAGAUCUAGGAGAUUAGAUUCAUAUUCUCUGUUAGUGAGGGUUUUUUUCCCCUUGUAGUUUCUUUUUCCCAUCAUUUCUUUUCAUUUGAAAAAUCAUCAUAUAGAAUUUCCAGUUUCAAAAUUGUAUGGUGCUGUAUUUUGAAGUAAAAAGAAGAUACUAUACCGUUGGUUCCUCUACUUUUCUCUUUUUUAAUGUGGAGAUGGGGUAGGAGAUAUGUCAUAGUUCACCAUCUGUGCAUUGGGAUUGAUGCUGUUACAUAAAGUAAGAUAUUCUACAGAUAAAGGUUACAGUACUUAUAAACUAUAUCAAAGUAAACCAAUAGAUUUUAUUUGUGUAUAGAUUGAUCUGACUUACCCUGGAGGCGUUUGAGGAGGUAUCGGAUCGUGACCGCCUUUCUCCGGCCUGUUUAGUAAAAUUAUUAGUUUUUAUGUCAAGAUAUUGCAUUCUUUAUUGAAGAUAAUAAUUAAAACAUCACAGUUUAUCUUUCAUAACUGUUUCUUACUUUUUAUUUCCAAUAAGUAAAUAAUGACUUACUGUGAGUUCUUGCUAUGGCCUUUGUUAUUUUGAUUGUUGUUGUUUUUGUGUUGGACAUUGUUGUUGUUGUUUUUGUGUUGGACAUUGUUGUUGUUGUUUUUGUGUUGGACAUUGUUGUUGUUGUUUUUGUGUUGGACGUUGUUGUUGUUGUUGUUUUUAUGUUGGACAUUGUUGUUGUUGUUUUUCUUUUGUUGGACAUUGUUGUUGUUGUUUUGUUUGUUGUUGUUGUUCUUUACGGUGGGUUUGUUGUGAGUGUUGUUAGUUCCAUGGCUUUCACUCUCGAGCUUGCCGUAGUUAUUAUUGUGUGUUUUCUUUGUGGUUUUCUUCUGAUCUUUAUUCUCACUGCUUCUGCUUUCACUAGGUAAUCUGUAAUCAAUGUAGUAAAAAAUAAACAUGAUCAGAAAACAUCAGACAUAAAACACAUUUUUCAAUAAUCCAAAUCUCCGAAAAUUAAACUAAUAAUCUUGAUAGAAAAUGAGUCAGAGUGAUAAUCCUUUAUCUCACUACAUAUAAAUGGUAACUAUAAACCCUUCGUCAGAAUAUUCUUACAUAUUUGAAUUACGUGUGUUUUAUAUCUAAUUACACUCAAUAUACGUGCACACACAUGUAAUUAAAAACUAAACAAUAAUGAAUGAGAAAGUAGAUAGAGAGAGAGAGUCAUUCAGUAUGUAACUAACUGCGCCAUUGUUACAGGAUGGUGAUGCUUAGUGAUAGAAGCGUGCUCUGGUGUUCGUAUUAUAUCAUAAAAAAGCUUCUCGUCACGUGAUAACGGAGGGGAAAAAACAUUUCCUUCCAUGAUGAAGUAAACAAUUAUCUUAUAUAUAUAUAUAUGUGUGUGUGUAAGACUCUAAAGUGCGAUGGUCGCUCCAAAGUGCGAUGUUGCGAAGUUCAGUAACGUUUGUGACGUUACGUCAUUGUGACGUCAUUCUUAACGUCUUUCAAAAUGAAAAAAAAAAUGCAACAUGGACGACAGUGACGGCAAGGUUUACACUGCUGAGGAGUGUGAGAACGGCAAAACGCAUUUGUUGUCGAACUCUCGACUUCGCCCAAACAUUCUUUAAUUCAUGAUCAUGUAUUACUUGUGGUGCCGGUACAGGUAAUAAUUUCCUGAGGGUAUGCUAUAAUGCAAAACAUUCUAGGCCUAUAUGAUUUCGCGUUGGAAAAAGCUUGUGUUUAAUAACAAGACAACGAAAUAAGUUUUUAUCCUUAUGUUUUGUGAAUGGAUUUUGCACUGAUAUCUUGGUGAAACACACGAUCCAGUCAGGAGCGGACUUCCUUAAGCUUAAAAGUUGCAAGUGAAUGAAGUGUGUUCUAUUUUAUGUCUCCUAAUAAAACCAUGGAUUUGACAAACCUAAAUGAGCACGUGGAGCAAGGAACUAUCAGAAAGCCGGAAGAGCCAGCUCGAAAAUCUUCAAGUGUUUGAGAAUUUCACCGCGCACAUGAAUCUAAAGUUCUGCCACACGUUAGAAGGAGCCUUGUUCUCGAAGAUCAAAACGUUGAAAAGUUUUCAUUUUGCCUUCUGAAGCAAAUACAUUUUUAUUGUAUAUACACAUGUAGACCAUGUUCGAUUCCCAACCACUUAAAAUUUGUGAUAUCUGCAUGGAAUUAUUAAAACUGAGCAUGGUUUGACGUAUGAUAAUCUCUUCAGGCAUGAUGGUUUACAUUUCACAAAGCUGUUCAAUGACAAUAAAGACAAUAAGAUGU